GGAUUUGCAUCGAAACCCCGAUGGCGUCUCCGGAGCGUUGCGCCCGAUGGGUGUGCCCGCAGCCCUCUGCUCGUCUGACAGACAGCGCUCCCGGCCAAUCACCGCAGCUCCUUCAGCACAGUAGCAACAGACGACGAUGAUGAGUAUGAUCAGCGUAGCAAUGACUCCACAAAUGAUUCUUGCAGUGGGACCAAUGUUCGUGGAGGCUGCAGACAGGAUGAAGAGAGAUCUUUAUUCUGGAUCAAUCACACCGGCCUCUUCAGCCUGUCCCCCAGCCUCCCCACUGCUCCUCUUUGGGUCACUCAACCUCCAGAGCCCCUCUUCACUGCAGUGUGUCCCUGGGCGGCAGGCUGCCGCUAUUGCCGGGCUGCAUUACUGCUGCUCCGUCACCCAGCCUGUCUGCUUUACAUGACGAGCCCAGAGACACUGCAGCUGCAACAGCCAAAAAGGUCAGUGUGUAUACUGGCAGGGCAACUGCUGCUCACAACAUGCUGCAUCAGCUCAGCCCCUGGCCAAAUGCGAGAAAGCCUCAAGUACAACCCAUCAACGCCAGAGAGCUAUUUUUUUUCCAGACUCGGUAGUUCCAUCAGA